UAUGCAAAUAGUCCGCGACGUCAUCUGGCGACUUCUAGUGAGUUUCUGAGUGUACAUUUUCCCCUGAAAAGAGUUGGCUAGAGUGCUGAGGAUCUCACUACAGGGAAAAAGUUCAUGGAAAAAUUAAAAUAUAUUCCAAUUUGGAGUGACAGCUCAUUGAUGAGCCACUAGUGAAGAACUAGGGAUGUUUCUUUUCUUUUUACGUUACCUGUCUCGCGCGCUUCAACCUGGCUGACAGGCUAAGUACACAUGAACAUGUUCACCCCUAAGAAAUAUUUGGAAUCUUCCACGUGUCACAUGUUCAACAGGAAGUUGUCGCAUCAUCUGAAUUUCCUGAAGAUCAUGGGAAGAAGAAAAUCCGCGCUAUCCGUUGACCACCCAGAUGUGAGAACUCGUGUGCGAGCCAUCAAAAGUUUGCACAAGACGUGCAAAAACAUGUCGGCAUGUUGGAGUGGCUGGAACUUUAAGGGUCUACCUAUUGUCUGUUUUGUCCCCAGAGAAAUCCAGCACUCAAGAGAUGUUUAUCGUUGACCCGUCACACUCUAUGCCACACAGCUGACCUUGACGAUUCCCAUUCAUCUGUCACGGUGGGAGAAGAUAACUCACCUGGUUCUUUACAGAAUGGAUUGGAUUUGUUCUAUGAGAGGGCGGUAAACAUAGACCUCCCAUUGUUGACCCGAUGUUUGCGGGUGACGCCAACCCUGGACCUUAGCACUGUUUAUUUUCUUAAUUGCUGCUUUAUGUUCGUGUUUGUCAAGCUUUUACAGCAGUCAUCCCCUGAUUCCAAAGGUCUCCACAUACCAGUCCGAUCAGCCAGGAAUGUGAGCAGGCCUGCAGCGUUUGAGAAACGCAAGUGGGCUCCUUCAGCUCACAUCAAAUGACCUCCAUGCUUGAAGAAAUUCUGCAUUUCUGAAUGCAUGAAUGAAGGAAAAAUAAAAAGGCAAGUAAUAGCUACACACGAGUACUCCUUACCUAAUCUGGCAUCCUCCUAAACUCCUCAGGAGGUUUUCACUCGUGUUGAGAGAUGAGGAGGAGAUGAUACCGAGAAGAGACGGACCUCAAACUGUGAGUAAACAGCUGCAUGUAGGAUCGACUUCCAGCUUGGGGACAGAUUCAUCUCGAACCCCUAAUCCCACUCGCUGAUCCUGUCAGAGAUCUCCUCUAUUUAUAGACAAGACAGGCUUUAAGAUAAUAAAAAACCUAAGCUCUUUACUUAUCAGAUCAAAUUCGUACAUUUUUAUGAAGUUGAUGUACUUAGUAACUCGGAUUAUAACUCGUGAUGUGCAAUAUGAGCGCUACUACGUGUAUUGGGACUGAUUUCAAUUGGUGGGAAAUUUCAAACACACGUCAUAUUCCUCAGAUAUAUACCUGAAAGUCCAGCCAAAGAUGCUUCCCUGGUAUGGCUUAACACAAUAAACAAACAAACAAAUACAUAAAUAGGCAUCAUAAUGUGUAGAGAAGCCUUUCUCCGUCAACGAGGCCUUGUAUUUAAGAGGCCCAUGCGUCUGGCCCAGUGUUAAUAAUCAGCUGUCCAUCAGCUGUGGAAUCCUGCGAUUCUCGCAUCGUUGCCAAUAAAGACGCAGUUCAGGUGCUUUCUGUCUUCGGCAUGUGGGCAGGAGCCGCUGUGUAAACAGUCCUAACUGCAGAAUAACACCAAGAUUAUUGAACAUGCCAGAUUUCUUUCAUGUUGGACAAUCAGCAAGAAUAGUUGAGUUGCUGAAGUUUGUGUUCCCUUUAGGGAUAUUACUAUACCUUUAUCCGUAUAAAAAGUGGUAAUGUGUGUCAAAAAAGAAGUCUGCGUUUUGCAUUGCAUUUUCUAAGUGUGAUAUACACUAAUCAGCCAUAACAUUAAAACCACUGAGAGGUGACGUGAAUAACGUGAUUAUCGCGUUACAGUGGCACGUGUGAAGGAGUGGGAUAUAUUUAUUAGGCAGCAAGUGAACAGUCAGUUCUCGAAGUUAAUGCGUUGGACGCAGGAAGAAUGGGCAAGCUUGAGGAUCUAAGCGACUUUGACAAGGGAAAAGUUGUGAUGUCUAGACGUCUGGGUCAGAGCAUCUCUGAUACAGCAGGUCUUGUGGGGUGUUCCCAGUAUGCAGUGGUUAGUACCUACCAAACGUGGUCCAAGGAAGGACAAUCGGUGAACCGGCAACAGGGUCGUGGGCGCCCAAGGCUCAUUGAUGUACGUGAGGAGCGAAGACUAACCCGUCUGGUCCGAUUCCAUGGGAAUCGGACCACUAUGGGAAGAAGGCGAGCUGGCGGAGGGAGAGUGAUGCUCUGGGCAAUGUUCUGCUGGGAAACCUUGUGUCCUGGCAUUCAUGUGGAUGUUACUUUGACACGUACAACCUACCUAAACAUUGUUGCAGUCCAAAUACACCCCUCCAUGGUAACGGUGUUCCCUAAUAUCAGCGGCCUCUUUCAGCAGGAUAAUGCUCCCUGUUAGACUGCAAAAACGCUCACAAUGUUAUGUAGUAUCAAUAUAAAAAUGUCAUUAAAAAAGGGUGAUAGAAAAUCAUUAAGGUCUGUCUAUUGUGAGAAAAUGCUGUAGUGUUAUUACAGUACAGUGCACCAGCGCCACCUGUUGGUGAUAUAUUGACUUACACGCCUGUACUCUUGUUUCACCAGUAGAUGGCCUUACAACUUCACUUUUAAAUGAUUGAACAACCUUUUCUGAGCGUUUUAAAAAUAAAAUAAGU